UACCGAAACAAGCUGCUGAUGACCUAAGAGAAGGCUGACCUUGCCAAGUGCAGAGUUACCUGAGUGCAUCCAUCUUUUUCAGUGACAUCGUGGGCUUCACUCAGCUUGCCAGAACCAGAAUGCCAAAUCAGGUAGUGGACUUCCUGAACAAGAUGUACAGCACCUUUGAUGAAGUUAUAGAUCAGUAUUACGUCUACAAAAUGGAGAUGAUCAGAGAUGCAUGCUACACAAUGUCCUGAGAGGAUUCUUUAUGAGAAAAAUGUCCAUCACAGCUUUAAGACCUUGCUUUGGAAGGAACUAAUGAGAAAGCAGAUGGAAAGGAUGUUCAGCUGUGGAAAUCAGCUACCUUGCUGUGAGAAAGCCCCAACCACCUCCCACAGAGAGCCCACAUGGAGAAGCCACGUGGAGAGAACUGAGCUCCCCUGCUGAUGG